GACGGUUUGGCCGAGUGGUCUAAGGCACCAGAUUUAGGCUCUGGUCUGAAAGGGUGUGGGUUCAAAUCCCACAGCCGUCU
rfam:Ipomoea nil DNA, scaffold: scaffold1114, cultivar: Tokyo-kokei standard.